GCUACGAUGCCGCUGGCAGCUAACGGGAAUACCGUGUGUGGAGAUAACGGAGAAGCGGUUCACUAGGACCGGAGUCGCUCAGCAACGCCCUUAGAUGUACUACUAUGUCACCACUCCAUUAUCAGAUAGACAGCCUCAGGUGCCAAACGUGGCUUAAGCAGUCUCAUGCCAGCAUUCAGAGACUCCACCACCUGUGCAUUGGAUUGAUGCUCAUAAGGAAGCCGGCCCUCUGUGUAUACUUCCCACAUGAGAACACCUGAACAAGGAAACUUGGAGCACAUGGAACUUGUGUACUGGUCAUCAAGAACAUAUCUACAAGGCACAAGAUAGGAAUGGCCAGUGAAAAGAAUACAAUACUGCUGUAAGACAGACUUUGUGUAUCAGUACCUGGUCAUACCAAAAUCAGACAACUUAACCACAUUGCUCUUUGAAACUAGGCAGUUCCUUGCAGCCUAUAAUUGAAAAGACACAAGAUUGGGAAACUUUUAUUUCAAACCACUGAAUAAUAUAUAUAUUUUGGUUAUUUUUACCAGAUCUCUGUGGAUGAAGUUAGAUGUCUCCAGGUAAGCCAUGCCUUCAGUGACAUCCAGACACAUCCCUAACAUUGUGUCAUGGGAUAAGCACCCUUUUUUUGUCCGCAGGUAAUCUGACAAACAGCCGUUCUCCAUAAACUCCAGAACCAAACACAUUGGAGAACUCUGGGUGCAUACACCAUAGAGCUGAACUAGCUUUGAGUGGUAUAAUUUCCUAAUGAAACAUACACAAUUGCAAAUUAUCUCAACUCACUGUAAACUAAAAUUCAAAAUCAAGACGUGUUCUUACAUCAUGAUUUUUGCUUCUUCUUUCAAGUCCUCAUCUGACAUGCUAUCUUCUCUUAUCAUCUUCAAUGCUACUUUCUUCUCCCUCCAUUGUCCCCACAGCACCAUCCCGAAUUGUCCACUACCUAAUUCUUGGCCAAAAGUGAGUUCAUCAGGGUCCACCUCCCUCUCAUCUGUUGAACAACAGUUAUACGUAAAUGAUUUGUAUCGGUAAUUAUUAUAGACCACAUUCUUUUAUUACCUAGUUAUAAAAGUGUAACAAUUUCUUUACUGAGACAACUGUAGACUAUGGACAAUUAUGAACAUUGCACAAGUGGCUUCUUGUUUACAAACAAGACACCCCAUUACUUUGCAGAUACUGCAAUUAUAGACAGUCAAUGGCCUCUUUGACAAGAUGCAGUGCCAUAGACUAUAGUUCUUUUUAGCCUAUAUACUGUACAUCAGCAACAACAUUAAGGCACACUUGCAUGUUUUCAAAUAAUACAGAAUCAGGCAGUAAUAAACAAUAAUGCAAUAUAAACAGAUUAACUUUGUUUUACCACAGUCAAAGGGUUUUAUAAUUUCAAAGAUGAUUCAGUACAAUAGAAUUUAAUAAAAAUAAAAAUUAAAAAAAACCUUGAGAUUGACCAGCAAUCUGAGAGCAGCCACCUGUCUGAGUAACAGGGUGUCUGAGACGUGUUAUCAGACCUGCCAGGUAACACACACACACACAAAUACAUCUUAGAAAAUAAUUUCAUUUCAAAAUAUGAACCAUAAGCAUCAUUACCUGUCCUGCAAAACAGAUGGAAAAAAAAAAUACCUGCAGCAUUGUGUUGGUGGUAAUGGAUCAGCUCGGGAAUGGUGCGAAACAGAUACUUCUCUGCUAAGUAAAACAAAGACUCUGCUGUUUCCGUUUGCCUGAUUUGGUAAUGUUUUACACAUGGUUGUUUCUCCUCAUUAGACCUACAGGUGAUGUGUUCAGGAGAUUCAUUGAAAUUAGUAGUACAUUAUUGUUGUGUAGUAGCAUUAUGGUAAUGGUUAUACCGGUAAACAAGUGGUGAAAUUACCCCGGUGCUUUGGAGAAGACUGACACCGUGUAGACCCCUGUCUGUCUUGAAUUUCGAACCACAAAUGCACCCUCUUUUCCCUUAACAUUAACAGCACACACAAAAACGUUAACAUUAUAGUCGUAAUUCAGGUUUAUCCCAUACUUAGCCUGAAAACAUUAAGAUUAGGUGUUGUUAUGUAACACACAUUUUUACUUCACACACACAGUGAGUCUAAACCAGUAAUUAGGAAGUAAUAGAUACAUAGCCAUGCUUGUAAAACUUCAUACAAAAGCCUCCACUUCUCGCUUUGGUGCAAGUUUAUUUUGCAUAUACUGUAUACAUAAAUAUGCCUUCACUUUACAUCGAUAAAAUGAUAACUCAUGAAGAUAUAAUAACUUCAUUCAUUUUCUUUUUCUUUGUCAUUCAACAACUGCGCACAAAUAGAUAACCGUUACAUUCACAUUCUCACUUUCUGUGGGCAUUGAACAAGACUGUUCUGGUUUGUUUCGUUAAAAAGAGAAAUCAGAGCAGCCUACUACUACUACUACUAUGCUUAUCCAUUCCAAAGAAACGGAUUUUACCAAUAUAUUUUCAUUUAACUCUUGAGGCAUCUUCACUGUCACUUUACAACUAAAUUGAAGAUAAAUGAGGGAGUUUCUGUCCAACCACCUUUGUUGGCAGAGAGCUGCCUGCCUGCAAGGCAUCUGAGCAACUGUUGUUUUCGUUCCAAAAGAUUGAUAUAAUUUAUGUUUUGAGGGUGUGCCUCCAACAUUAAGCAUCAACAGCUGAGUUUCCACACCAAAAUCUAGACUAGCGCAGUCCUAAAUUAGCAUUUGCACAAACUGUUGAAGCAUGCUCAGAUGAAGGACAAAACAAGACAACCAGAACAAUCCAGUUGCGAUCAGUUCAAUGUCGAGAGAAUGAAAUGACUUGGCUGGGUGAGAAUAUUCACAUGAAUCUUCAAAUAAAGGAAAUGUCUGAUAAUUUUACCUCUUUGAAUAACACAUUUUCUGCUUCCCCUCUCGAAAUGUUCUUGUUGUACCAUCUUUGAUAAGGCAAAAGAAAAUAUAGUUUCCAUAUAAAAAGUUUCCAUAUGCACAUACUGUAAUUAAAUACAUUCAUAAGAUCCAUCCAAAAAUAUGCAAUACAAUAUGCAAGCUUGAAAAUAAAUAA